GACGAAGGAUGCAAGCGUUAUCCGGAUUCAUUGGGUUUAAAGGGUGCGUAGGCGGUCUUAUAAGUCAGUGGUGAAAUCUCUCAGCUUAACUGAGAAACUGCCAUUGAUACUGUAGGACUUGAGUACAGAUGAUGUUGGCGGAAUAUGACAUGUAGCGGUGAAAUGCAUAGAUAUGUCAUAGAACACCGAUUGCGAAGGCAGCUGACAAAACUGUAACUGACGCUGAGGCACGAAGGCUUGGGUAGCGAUUAGG
rnacentral:rRNA from 1 species